ACUAAGCGCAUAUGGUGGAUGCCUAGGCGGUAGGAGGCGAUGAAGGACGUUGUAGCAUGCGAUAAGCCUCGGUGAGCUUGCAAACAAGCUUUGAUCCGGGGAUUUCCGAAUGGGGAAACCCACCUGUCAUAAGGCAGGUAUCUUGCACUGAAUUCAUAGGUGUAAGAAGCGAACCCGGGGAACUGAAACAUCUAAGUACCCGGAGGAAAAGAAAUCAACCGAGAUUCCCUAAGUAGCGGCGAGCGAACGGGGAUUAGCCCUUAAGCUUUAUUGAUUUUAGAAGAACACUCUGGAAAGUGUGGCCAUAGACGGUGAUAGCCCGGUAUUCAAAAAGAUCUUUAGAGUGAAAUCGAGUAGGUCGGAGCACGUGAAACUUUGACUGAACAUGGGGGGACCAUCCUCCAAGGCUAAAUACUCCCUACCGACCGAUAGUGAACCAGUACCGUGAGGGAAAGGCGAAAAGAACCCCGAAGAGGGGAGUGAAAUAGAUCCUGAAACCGUAUGCGUACAAGCAGUGGGAGCACAGAUUUGUCUGUGUGACUGCGUACCUUUUGUAUAAUGGGUCAGCGACUUACUUCUCAGUGGCAAGCUUAACCGAAUAGGGGAGGCGUAGCGAAAGCGAGUCUGAACAGGGCGUUCAGUCGCUGGGAGUAGACCCGAAACCGGGCGAUCUAUCCAUGGCCAGGUUGAAGGUGAGGUAACACUCACUGGAGGACCGAACCCACUUAUGUUGAAAAAUGAGGGGAUGAGCUGUGGAUCGGAGUGAAAGGCUAAUCAAGCCCGGAGAUAGCUGGUUCUCCUCGAAAGCUAUUUAGGUAGCGCCUCGUGUAUCACUCUCGGGGGUAGAGCACUGUUAUGGCUAGGGGGCCAUCCCGGCUUACCAACCCAUUGCAAACUCCGAAUACCGAGAAGUGCAAUCACGGGAGACACACGGCGGGUGCUAACGUCCGUCGUGGAAAGGGAAACAACCCAGACCGCCAGCUAAGGUCCCAAAAUCUAUGCUAAGUGGGAAACGAUGUGGGAAGGCACAGACAGCCAGGAGGUUGGCUUAGAAGCAGCCAUCCUUUAAAGAAAGCGUAAUAGCUCACUGGUCGAGUCGGCCCGCGCGGAAGAUUUAACGGGGCUAAGCAUAGUACCGAAGCUGCGGAUGCCAGUUUACUGGCAUGGUAGAGGAGCGUUCUGUAAGCCUGCGAAGGUGAACUGUAAGGUUUGCUGGAGGUAUCAGAAGUGCGAAUGCUGACAUGAGUAACGAUAAAGGGGGUGAAAAACCCCCUCGCCGGAAGUCCAAGGUUUCCUGCUCUAUGCUAAUCAGAGCAGGGUUAGUCGGUCCCUAAGGUGAGGCCGAAAGGCGUAAUCGAUGGAAAGCAGGUUAAUAUUCCUGCACCCUAUACAGUUGCGAUGGAGAGACGGAGAAGGCUAGGCCAGCCUGGCGUUGGUUGUCCAGGUUUAAGCGUUUAGGAAGUGUUCUUAGGUAAAUCCGGGAACACAAUUCUGAGGCGUUACGACGAUCUACUAAGGUAGAGAAGUGGUCGAUGCCAUGCUUCCAGGAAAAUCUUCUAAGCUUCAGACUGUAUGGGUCCGUACCCCAAACCGACACAGGUGGACAGGGUGAGAAUCCCAAGGCGCUUGAGAGAACUCGGGUGAAGGAACUAGGCAAAAUAGUACCGUAACUUCGGGAGAAGGUACGCCCCUGACGGUUUACGCUGUUGGGGGCCGCAGAGACUAGGUGGCUGCGACUGUUUACUAAAAACAUAGCACUCUGCAAACUCGUAAGAGGAAGUAUAGGGUGUGACGCCUGCCCGGUGCCGGAAGGUUAAUUGAUGGGGUUAGCUUAGGCGAAGCUCUUGAUCGAAGCCCCGGUAAACGGCGGCCGUAACUAUAACGGUCCUAAGGUAGCGAAAUUCCUUGUCGGGUAAGUUCCGACCUGCACGAAUGGCGUAACGAUGGCCACACUGUCUCCACCCGAGACUCAGUGAAAUUGAAAUCGCUGUUAAGAUGCAGUGUACCCGCGGCUAGACGGAAAGACCCCGUGCACCUUUACUACAGCUUUGCACUGAACACUGGUCCUACUUGUGUAGGAUAGGUGGGAGGCUUUGAAGCGGUGGCGCUAGCCAUCGUGGAGCCAACCUUGAAAUACCACCCUGGUAUGUCUGGUGUUCUAACCCAGGUCCGUAAUCCGGAUCGGGGACAGUGUAUGGUGGGUAGUUUGACUGGGGCGGUCUCCUCCCAAAGAGUAACGGAGGAGCGCGACGGUUCGCUAAUCCCGGUCGGAAAUCGGGAGGUUUGUGCAAUGGCAUAAGCGAGCUUGACUGCGAGACUGACACGUCGAGCAGGUACGAAAGUAGGUCAUAGUGAUCCGGUGGUUCUGAAUGGAAGGGCCAUCGCUCAACGGAUAAAAGGUACGCCGGGGAUAACAGGCUGAUACCGCCCAAGAGUUCAUAUCGACGGCGGUGUUUGGCACCUCGAUGUCGGCUCAUCACAUCCUGGGGCUGAAGCAGGUCCCAAGGGUAUGGCUGUUCGCCAUUUAAAGUGGUACGCGAGCUGGGUUUAGAACGUCGUGAGACAGUUCGGUCCCUAUCUGCCGUGGGCGUUUGAGAAUUGAGAGGAGCUGCUCCUAGUACGAGAGGACCGGAGUGGACGUACCUCUGGUGUUCCGGUUGUCACGCCAGUGGCAUCGCCGGGUAGCUAUGUACGGACGGGAUAACCGCUGAAAGCAUCUAAGCGGGAAGCCCCCCUCAAGAUUAAUUCUCACUAGACUCUCGAAGUCUCUGAAGGUCCGUUGAAGACUACGACGUUGAUAGGCAAGGUGUGGAAGUGCAGCAAUGUAUGAAGCUAACUUGUACUAAUUGACCGUGAGGCUUGGCC
rnacentral:rRNA from 1 species